GCUAACCUCGCAAGAGGAGGCAGCCGACCACGGUGGGUCAGCGACUGGGGUG
rnacentral:rRNA from 1 species